rnacentral:rRNA from 1 species
UACGGAGGGGGCUAGCGUUGUUCGGAAUCACUGGGCGUAAAGCGCGCGUAGGCGGCUUGUUAAGUCAGAGGUGAAAGCCUGGAGCUCAACUCCAGAACUGCCUUUGAUACUGGCAAGCUCGAGGAUGGCAGAGGUUGGUGGAAGUCCGAGUGUAGAGGUGAAAUUCGUAGAUAUUCGGAAGAACACCAGUGGCGAAGGCGGCCAACUGGGCCAAGACUGACGCUGAGGUGCGAAAGCGUGGGGAGCAAACAGG